rnacentral:lncRNA from 1 species
AAAAAACUGAAUGGAAGGCAGGGAUAAACCCUCCUUUUUAUAACAAAUUAAUGAAAAAAUUAUAAAAUGUUUUAUAAAAAUAAAUGGUUAAAUAUUUUUAUUUUUAUAGGUGGGAAUGGAAGAAGAGCCUAUAUAUGAGGACAUGGCAACCAAGGAACCAUCACAAAAUAGCGAUGUUGAAAACCAGCCGAUAGACCCCGAGUCAUGGAAAGAUGGCGAUAUUGUUAUGAUAACCAAGCCGGGGCCGUACAAGAUUACUGCUUUGGUGUGUGACAAAUGGCCAACAGUUGCAAAAACAGAAGCACACGAGGAGGUUGCUGAAACUAUGAUCGACGGAGCCCUUGCCAGUGGUGGUUCAGAAACAAAGGACACAAACAGGGUGUGCAGCGAGCGGGUGUCAAUGGUAAAACCCAAAGAACAUGGAAGGGGCUACGGUGCCCGAAGGUGCAUCAACUGAGGAUGAUAAUAAUGAUUCAGAAUCAGACAAGGGUACGAUUGAGGUAGCACAAAUAAACU